rnacentral:rRNA from 1 species
AACGAACGCUGGCGGCAGGCUUAACACAUGCAAGUCGAACGCAUCCUUCGGGGUGAGUGGCAGACGGGUGAGUAACGCGUGGGAACGUGCCCUUCAGUUCGGGAUAACCCAGGGAAACUUGGGCUAAUACCGGAUACGUGCGAGAGCAGAAAGAUUUAUCGCUGAAGGAUCGGCCCGCGUCUGGUUAGCUAGUUGGUGGGGUAAUGGCCCACCAAGGCGACGAUCAGUAGCUGGUCUGAAAGGAUGAUCAGCCACAUUGGGACUGAGACACGGCCCAAACUCCUACGGGAGGCAGCAGUGGGGAAUAUUGGACAAUGGGCGCAAGCCUGAUCCAGCCAUGCCGCGUGAGUGAUGAAGGCCUUAGGGUUGUAAAGCUCUUUCGUCCGGGACGAUAAUGACGGUACCGGAAGAAGAAGCCCCGGCUAACUUCGUGCCAGCCGCCGCGGUAA